rnacentral:rRNA from 1 species
GAUUAACGCUGGCGGCGUGCAUAACACAUGCAAGUCGAACGAUGAAACUUAACUGAUUUCUUCGGAAUGAUUUUAAGUGGCUUAGUGGCGGACGGGUGAGUAACGCGUGAGUAACCUGCCUUGGAGAAGGGGAUAGCCUUUGGAAACGAAGAAUAAUACCCUAUGAUAUGAUACUAUCUCAUGAUAUUAUCAUCAAAGAUUUAUCGCUCUAAGAUGGACUUGCGUCUGAUUAGUUAGUUGGUGAGGUAACAGCUCACCAAGGCAGCGAUCAGUAGCCGGCAUGAGAGAGUGGACGGCCACAUUGGGACUGAGACACGGCCCAGACUCCUACGGGAGGCAGCAGUGGGGAAUUUUGCACAAUGGGGGAAACCCUGAUGCAGCGACGCCGCGUGAUUUAGAAGGCCUUCGGGUUGUAAAAAUCUUUUGUAUGGGAAGAAAAUGACAGUACCAUACGAAUAAGGACCGGCUAAUUACGUGC